ensembl:snoRNA
AGUCGGUGAUGAUUUAGUAUAAGAGUAGUGGACAGAUGUGAUUUCUGAGAAACUUUAACGCUGAGACU